AGACCAAUAGAUGGAGCCCAUCCGACAUCUCUCACCCAAUCACUGUGAGCCUCCAGCUUCUGGUCCUCCUUCCACUGACCGUCUUCCUCUCUGAAGGUGGAAGGAAACAAUCAGUGACAGUCUAUACAACAGGAAAGGAAAACAUGUGAUGCCACAGAAAGUCUGCGAAACAUGAUCUUACUUCCAGAGUUUGACGAGGUUGUCGCAGCCCCCGGAGACGAAGCGUUUCACGUAGUUCGGUUUCUGUCCUGACGGCUGAUCGAUCAGACUGCCUGGAACGACGGCAGGAGCCCAACUGACUGCAUUACAGCCGAUCUGCAGGAAGAUUACAACUGAAUUAAUAAUCAGACACAAUAUACUCUUAAAGAUGAUGACUUUACGAUCGUAGGAGCAGGACGCCAGAAUGUUGCCGAACAUCGGGUGAGCCCACGCUACCUGCCACACGGGACCCUCGUGGCUACACAAACACAGAGACCCACAUUUAGUUCAUAAUGCUCAGAGUGAAAGAACAUGUGUGAAACAAAUAUGCCAACAACAUGCCAUCAGUGUAAAAACAGAUUAAAUGCCUCAGGUAUGAGAUAUACCCUUUUUGUUUUUACUCUGUGCUGCAAUUUUGACAGUUUUUUUUUUUUUUUUUUUACUUGUUCAUUAAAAUGAAUAACCUGACAAAAUUGAAAGUGUCUCAAACAGAUUCAUAAUUUACAAUUUAUUUUCAAAUGGCUGCAGUUAACUGACUUUCAGUGUGAAUAAUUGAAUAUAAUGUAUUUUAUUUAUUCAUGUGAAGUGACUGAAACACUGUGAACUGUUCUGUCUAACUGAGACAUUUUGCUGAAUAUGUAUUCGCCACAAAUUCAGAAUUAUUUAAGUUCACAAAGUCAUUAUAAAAAGUGUUUAAAAAUGUCAUAAAUACAGUGUUUAAUAAUCAGAUAACACUGACUCAGAAAUGUGUAUAUGAUAUACCAUCUUAAAACAGUGUUUGGUGAAGGCUUUUAAUGCUUUGAUGCAUAUUGUAAUCAGAGUUUAGUUAAGGGCAUUAUGUUGUAAUACUUACAGAACCAACAUGGCUGCAGAGAAAGACUGAGGAUCUAAAGUCAAGUUAUUCUACACAUGGUCCAAUAGACGCAAGUCAUUGUCUUUUAUUUUGCUUUAUACUGAUGUAUAAUGUUUGUCAAUGUGCUUAACAUAGACAGUGGUGAGUUUAUCAGUAACUAUGUUUAAUUUCAGCCAAUUUCUGUUGGGACUGUCUUGGAGAUUUAUGUUUUCAUAUUUAAGUGUUUUAAUUUGUUCUAGUUUUCAGGGUGUCUGCUGAAGAGACUUAAAAAUAAACUUCUCCUGACAUCUGUU